rnacentral:lncRNA from 1 species
UUUUAGUAAUUUUACAAAUAUAUUUAAAAAAAUAAAAAAUAUUAAUUUGAGAGAGAGAAGAGAGUCCAAGGAGGCAGUGGUCGGUGGUUAUUUUGGAAGAGAGAGAGAGUUGCUAAAUGGGCUGCUGAGUGGGCUUAUUCUUUUAAUUAGAAUGGAAUUGUUUCCUUCUUUUAAUAUGCGAAUUCAGAAUGAUAUAGUUUCAUAUUUGAGAUGAGAAUUGGGAUGAGAGUAUAUAUAAUAAAUAUAUAUUAAUUAUAAUUUAAUCGGUUAAUUAAUCGGUUAUUCACAUAAAUUUAUUCCAGUGUCCUUCCAAAAAAAUAAAACAAUAAAUUAUCGUACUAGUUUAGUGAUGCUAGACGAUUAAUGUGGUGGUUAUCUCAUCUGCUAUAAUAAUAAUUCAAAUGCAUUUACAGACAAUAUUUAUGGUAUGAUGUAUUAUGUAUAUUGUGACAGAACAAAGGUAAUGUUGCUAAAUGGUAAGGUAUGUCUUUUCUAAAGAAAAUAUAUGCUAUAAUUUGAGACUUUUCUAGUUUUCUGCCCCGUUUCUGUAGAGCUUGCAAAUGAUGAUUUUGGGUAUUGACUUUACAAUAUAACUUGUGCUUGGUUAUUAAUAUGCUUGCUAAUUGUUAUAUUGGACUUUUUUUAAAAAAAUAAUUAUGUUUAUUUUUUUUAACUUGCUAUAUAAUUUAAAUAACAUUAUAAUUAUAUUAAUUAUUAUUAUUUAUUUUUUAAUUUUUUUUAUUUAAUUAUUAUUUUUUUGAAAAAAAAAUUUUGGACCCCCCCUGAGUCGAAAGUCUG